rnacentral:rRNA from 1 species
AAAGCGUGCGCAGGCGGUUUUGUAAGACUGUCGUGAAAUCCCCGGGCUCAACCUGGGAAUGGCGAUGGUGACUGCAAGGCUAGAGUUUGGCAGAGGGGGGUAGAAUUCCACGUGUAGCAGUGAAAUGCGUAGAUAUGUGGAGGAACACCGAUGGCGAAGGCAGCCCCCUGGGUCAAAACUGACGCUCAUGCACGAAAGCGUGGGGAGCAAACAGGAUUAGAUACCCUAGU